rnacentral:rRNA from 1 species
AACACGUGGGAACAUCCCUUUCAGUUCGGAAUAACUCAGGGAAACUUGAGCUAAUACCGGAUACGUCCGUGAGGAGAAAGAUUUAUCGCUGAAAGAUUGGCCCGCGUCUGAUUAGCUAGUUGGUGAGGUAAUGGCUCACCAAGGCGACGAUCAGUAGCUGAUCUGAGAGGAUGAUCAGCCACAUUGGGACUGAGACACGGCCCAAACUCCUACGGGAGGCAGCAGUGGGGAAUAUUGGACAAUGGGCGCAAGCCUGAUCCAGCCAUGCCGCGUGAGUGAUGAAGGCCUUCGGGUUGUAAAGCUCUUUUAUCCGGGAAGAUAAUGACUGUACCGGAAGAAUAAGCCCCGGCAAACUUCGUGCCAGCAGCCGCGGUAAUACGAAGGGGGCUAGCGUUGUUCGGAUUUACUGGGCGUAAAGCGCACGUAGGCGGCUUGUUAAGUCAGAGGUGAAGGCCUGGAGCUCAACUCCAGAACUGCCUUUGAUACUGACAGGCUCGAGUAUGGUAGAGGUUGGUGGAACUGCGAGUGUAGAGGUGAAAUUCGUAGAUAUUCGCAAG